rnacentral:lncRNA from 1 species
UGACAAUGGCCUGUGAAGCAAAGCAUACUUUUUGAUGUCUCUGGUUUCUUGUUAACUUCAUUAGAUCUGAUUGUUGGAAUAGACAAGCAUCAUUCUGCUCCAAAGCUAGUUCUGUAUUUCACGUGUUUGCCUUCGCAUCUUCUGUGCUCCAAGACACCAGAUGCCAAAGAAGUCUAGAUCUCAUGCUGUUUGUUGGGAAGCUUUGACCUUUACCGUGCCAUAGAAGUGCCUUCUCAGUGUCAAGAACUUUCACAUGGAAGAGGUGAGACCUAUUCACAGUUCAGACAUACACUUACAAAAGAGAGUGCCAUAUAUUUCAUCACUGAAUGGAAAGUUGCUGCAAGAACUCAGAGGAAAAUGCAUGUGGAUUUAACAGUUUUUCUGACUACGUAAGAAGUGUCACUGGCCACCUUCUUGGGAUAAAGGGCAUCUUUACACCUCAGAAAUGCGUGCUACCCAAGAUCAUGAAACUCUUUCAUGUGAUAUACUAA